rnacentral:rRNA from 1 species
AUUGAACGCUGGCGGCAGGCCUAACACAUGCAAGUCGAGCGAGCGGCGGACGGGUGAGUAAUGUAUGGGGACUGCCCGUUAGUGGGGGAUAACUACUGGAAACGGUAGCUAAUACCGCAUACUAUCGGAUAACCCAUAUGGGAUUAGCUCGUAGGUGAGGUAAUGGCUCACCUAGGCGACGAUGCCUAGCUGGGCUGAGAGGAUGAUCAGCCACACGGGGACUGAGACACGGCCCAGAGUCCUACGGAGGCAGCAGUGGAGAAUAGGGCACAAUUGGCGCAAGCCUGAUGCAGCCAUGCCGCGUGUAUGAAGAAGGCCCUAGGGUUGUAAAGUACUUUCAGUCGGGAGGCGUUACCGACAGAAGAAGCACCGGCUAACUCCGUGCCAGCAGCCGCGGUAAUUC